GCCGCCGCCCCAUCCAGCGAGCCAACACCUCCGCCACCGGUCUUCCAUUGCCUAGCAUCCUCCACCGAGCCUUCUAGAAUGCAACUCCAUCAUGAGCAGCUCUGCUCAUCUAGGUGGUUGCUUUGUAUACAUCAGGAAGCAGCUCCAUUGUUUGCAUCUGGAGUAUUUUUUAGGCUACAGAUGAUCUCCAUAGGAUACUGAAUGAGGUAAUGCACUAGUGUGGUUUAAGUUGUUUCCAAGUUUUUCAGUUUGGCAUGAUGCUGAUGCUUAGAUUAGCGAGCCCCUUUCCAGGCCACAAACCCCAAAAGGCAGCUGGUAACGUCCUUUUUUGCCUAAAAAUUACAGUUAUGUGAUGGCAUGGUGCUGGUGCUUAUGUGAGGAUGAACCCAGCUGAUGUGUUAGAGAGACAGAGAGGAAAAAGACUGUCGUUUGUUGGUGAUUCACUCAACAUAGAACAUGUGGGAAUCACUUGUUUUGUAUCGUGAGGAAUUCUAUCAAAGACGAGAGAAAGCUGUUCGAGGUAUCCGGCAACCGCAAAUUCAGGGAUGAGGUCUCCUACUCUUUCUUGUUUCAGAUAUCUGACUGGUACUUUCCUUGGAUCUUUUGUAUGGCCAGCUGUUUUGAUUACUGAUGUGCCUUAAGCAAUGGGGUCUACAAAAGGCAGAAAUAUCAAGAUUUUCAUUGGUACGUGUUGGAAUAGCUACAAAAAAAACAAAUCAUUACUUUAUUUACAGGUUAUUUUACAUGCAUUAUAUGUCAAAACCUCCUGGUUGAAGCAGCCAUCCUGCUUUAUGCUGAUUAAAUGGUGAAAGUUCUAACAAGUGAUGUUGUGGUCGUACCGUAUUACUGCCUGAUGAUGUAGCUAUUUGAGUGCUAUAGCUUCUAAUAAUGGAGCAGGUGAAAUCUUGAUCUAUCAUCACUAAUCUUUUAUCCUGUAUUGCUAAUGACAAGCUAACCUUUUUAUCUUCAUGAAUUUUAGUACUGGGCUUAACGGCAUGUUUUUUUGGGGUAAAAGUAUCGAAUAGAACAGGAACUUGGGGACCAAGAUAAAACCUAUAUCUCCUCAGAUAGACCGGAUGAUAUAUUUCCAAUGGUUAUCUGGCAGAUUAAUCUUGUAUGCCCAACUGAAAGUAACAGAGACAACUUGCGUAAAGUAGCAGCUCAUCAGGUACCUUUGCUCAUUAUUAGGUUCUUUUGCAUCAUUCGAGCUAUUAAAAAUUUAAAUAGAAAAUGGCUUUCCAAUCACAGACCAUUUCAUAUAGCGGAUAUAGAGACUGAAACAGGAUCACAUUCGCAUUGUUUCUCAAUUUAGGGAAGAUCACCUAGGAAAAGAAAGAAGAUAUCACACCUAGGUAUACCCUCUCAUGCAG